rnacentral:rRNA from 1 species
AGAGUUUGAUCAUGGCUCAGGACGAACGCUGGCGGCGUGCUUAACACAUGCAAGUCGAACGCUGAAGCUCCCUGCUUGCAGGGGGUGGAUGAGAGGCGAACGGGUGAGUAACACGUGAGUAACCUGCCCCUGACUCUGGGAUAAGCGCUGGAAACGGUGUCUAAUACUGGAUAUGACCUAUCACCGCAUGGUGUGUGGGUGGAAAGAUUUAUCGGUUGGGGAUGGACUCACGGCCUAUCAGCUUGUUGGUGAGGUAAUGGCUCACCAAGGCGACGACGGGUAGCCGGCCUGAGAGGGUGACCGGCCACACUGGGACUGAGACACGGCCCAGACUCCUACGGGAGGCAGCAGUGGGGAAUAUUGCACAAUGGGCGCAAGCCUGAUGCAGCAACGCCGCGUGAGGGAUGACGGCCUUCGGGUUGUAAACCUCUUUUAGUAGGGAAGAAGCGAAAGUGACGGUACCUGCAGAAAAAGCACCGGCUAACUACGUGCCAGCCGCCGCGGUAAUUC